rnacentral:piRNA from 1 species
UGCUAAGGUUUGGUGACUGCUGAAGAUC